GUGAGGAAUUUUCCGCAAUGGGCGAAAGCCUGACGGAGCAAUGCCGCGUGAAGGAUGAAGGCCUAUGGGUUGUAAACUUCUUUUCUCAGAAAAGAAUUAUGACGGUAUCUGAGGAAUAAGCAUCGGCUAACUCUGUGCCAGCAGCCGCGGUAAGACAGAGGAUGCAAGCGUUAUCCGGAAUGAUUGGGCGUAAAGCGUCUGUAGGUUGUUUAAAAAGUAUUCUGUCAAAGAUUAGGGCUUAACCCUAGAUAGGCAGAAUAAACUUUUAAGCUAGAGUUUGGUAGAGGCAGAGGGAAUUCCCGGUGGAGCGGUGAAAUGCGUAGAGAUCGGGAGGAACACCAAAGGCGAAGGCACUCUGCUGGGCCAAUACUAACACUGAGAGACGAAAGCGAGGGGAGCAAAUGGGAUUAGAAACCCUAGUAGUCC
rnacentral:rRNA from 1 species